rnacentral:rRNA from 1 species
UACGUAGGGCGCAAGCGUUGUCCGGAAUUAUUGGGCGUAAAGAGCUCGUAGGCGGCCUGUUGCGUCCGCUGUGAAAACCCGGGGCUUAACCCCGGGCUUGCAGUGGAUACGGGCAGGCUGGAGGCAGGCAGGGGAGAACGGAAUUCCCGGUGUAGCGGUGAAAUGCGCAGAUAUCGGGAGGAACACCGGUGGCGAAGGCAAUCCCCUGGACCUGUACUGACGCUCAUGCACGAAAGCGUGGGGAGCAAACAGG